GUAAAGCUCUUUCAGUCGAGAAGAAAAGGCUGCAGUGAAUAACUGUAGUUUAUGACGGUAUCGACAGAAGAAGCACCGGCUAACUACGUGCCAGCAGCCGCGGUAAUACGUAGGGUGCGAGCGUUAAUCGGAAUUACUGGGCGUAAAGGGUGCGCAGGCGGUUUUGUAAGUCAGAUGUGAAAUCCCCGGGCUUAACCUGGGAAUUGCGUUUGAAACUACAAGACUAGAGUGUGGCAGAGGGAGGUGGAAUUCCAUGUGUAGCAGUGAAAUGCGUAGAGAUAUGGAAGAACAUCGAUGGCGAAGGCAGCCUCCUGGGUUAACACUGACGCUCAUGCACGAAAGCGUGGGGAGCAAACAGGAUUAGAUACCCUGGUAGUCCACGCCCUAAACGAUGUCAACUAGUUGUCGGGCCUUACUAGGCUUGGUAACGAAGCUAACGCGUGAAGUUGACCGCCUGGGGAGUACGGUCGCAAGAUUAAAACUCAAAGGAAUUGACGGGG
rnacentral:rRNA from 1 species